AAUUCUCCCUAACUCGCCAUCAUUCUGGUAACCCUCCUUUGCACCCUCUACAAAGCCUCCACAUUCUUCCUGCAAUGGGGCGAUCAGAACUGCAC